AACGAACGCUGGCGGCAGGCCUAACACAUGCAAGUCGAGCGCGCCCUUCGGGGUGAGCGGCGGACGGGUGAGUAACGCGUGGGAACGUGCCCUUUUCUACGGAAUAGCCUCGGGAAACUGAGAGUAAUACCGUAUACGCCCUUUGGGGGAAAGAUUUAUCGGAAAAGGAUCGGCCCGCGUUGGAUUAGGUAGUUGGUGGGGUAAUGGCCUACCAAGCCGACGAUCCAUAGCUGGUUUGAGAGGAUGCUCAGCCACACUGGGACUGAGACACGGCCCAGACUCCUACGGGAGGCAGCAGUGGGGAAUCUUAGACUAUGGGGGCAACCCUGAUCUAGCCAUGCCGCGUGAGUGAUGAAGGCCUUAGGGUUGUAAAGCUCUUUCAGCUGGGAAGAUAAUGACGGUACCAGCAGAAGAAGCCCCGGCUAACUCCGUG
rnacentral:rRNA from 1 species